AAGACUAUGCUUUCAGGGAUCAUUUCUAUAGUUUCUGACUUGGAAGUUUGAUAUGAAAGUGUAACGUCUCUCUAACCACGAUGACGAGUUAAGAUGCUUUCUUCUGAGCGUGAAUCGGGUGGUGAGCGACGAGCGAGAUUGUCUGCUCUCUGUCAUUGAUGAACGUUCCUGCUGUGCUUUGCAGUCUGGAAGAAGAAAGCAUGUUCAGAGUGGUU
ensembl:snoRNA